rnacentral:sRNA from 1 species
CAUUUAAUUUAAAACACUUUAAAAAUAUCAACAAUGAUUGACUGAUUCUAAACAAUAGUUCUUAAAUGAGUUGUUAUUUUUUAUUAUUUGAUCUAUUUUUUGUAGAUCUAUAAUUUUUAAUUUGUGAGUUUUCCUACCUUUAGCAUAUUUUUCAUUUAGGUUUUUGUUAUUAUAAUGAGAUCAUUUUUGGAACAUUUUUGAAACAACUUCAUAUAUUGAAUUAGAAAAAUGUUUUAAACUUAAAGAAAACCAUUGUCCUGAAGUUGCUUGCAUUGUCAGAAUAUCAUGUAAAGGUUGUUUAUACAAUAUUCAUUUGUACAUGUAUUACGAAGUCAUAGGUUUGAAUGUAAAUUGUUUUUAUUGAUAUACACAUGUAUUAACAUUCUACUGUAUGUUGAUAUUUUUUUCUUCAAAUAAAUAAAACAAUAAAAUG